UUUUUUUUUGAGCUCGUUUCCUGCAAAUAUUUUUUAAAUUUUAACUAGACGCGAGCCGAGGGUUGGAGCCCUAACACUUCGCUCUCCGCAUUCAGCAGGUCCCAUCGUUGACGGUGUGUGAGGGUAGCUGGCGGGGCUCACGGGGGUUCCUGCACACGGUCCACGGAGCGGGCGCCUCAGAGAGGAGAGGGAUUUUAUUUUAUUUUUUUUUUUUUGGUCUCGUUCUUUAAUUUUUUUUUCUCUUAAUUUAUGGGAUAAAAAAAUCGCAGGAGCGUGGGGCAGCCCGCGGCGGGGCGCGGACACACUGGAGCGCGGGGACACGCUGGAGAGCGGGGCGGGGCGCGGCGUGGCGUGGACACUGCUCUCUCUCGGGCUCGGCGCAUGAGCAGUUGGGAGCGGUGCCCGAGGCGCGCACGGGAGCGAGGGCGGAGGCGCUGGCAACGGUGCGCGGGAGGACGCGGAGAAGAAGCUGCGGAGCCCGAGUUUCGCUAGUGAGCCUUUCUUCGUCUGUGGGGUUCCGCGAUCUCGACGCCGAUGAUUUUAGGCACCCGCUCGAUAAGCAAAACACGUCGCUCUUGCGGGCGAUCCCCGGGCUCGAUGAAUUGUCAAGGCUUUAUUUGGUAAUUGGUGCUUCAUGUUUUCUUUAAUUUGUGUGUGUGUGUGUGUUUGGGUCCCUGAUUCGAUAUCAACGAUAUACAAAUAUAGUUUCAGAAAUGAAUAAGGUUAUAAAAUUAUUUGGUUCUUAAUUUGCAUUA